GCCAAGAACUCUGAUGCUUCUAAAUUUACAUCUGGGUAGCAGAUUUGCUCUGAAGUUGGACUACUGGAAACAAAUUCAAUGUUUCAGAAAUGUUACAAAGAGUUACAUUCUUCUGGUCUCAUCCAUCCAGCUUCUCAUGGGGACAGAUGGUCUGCCCGAUCCUCUUACGUGGUUCGACGUGCUCCGAGUUGCAAAGGGAGGUGGUAGCCAGGAAAAGCCUCCCGAGAUGACACCAGGACCCACUAGUGUUCUUGGUGAUGUGUGUCACGCCUGUGGAAAGCUGAAGUCCCCUGUUACUACAGCCCGCAGAGCUGUUUGUCCUGGAGACAGACAGAAGGAUGCGCUGGCUGAGACUAGGAGCAAAGGCAAGAGCAGCAUCUGGGAACUAGCCUCUACAGUCCAUGCUUCUAUUGGUAGCUGGGGACGCCAGGAAGAUGCGGGAAGCAUGCGCAGAGCUCAAGGUGUGGCGCACACGCCCUCUUCGCUGCUUUACUCUACCCCAGCCUCCGACACACAGAAGAAGAAUGUUUUCCAUAUGUGGAUCGGUGAGAUUUCUAAAUUCGAAAUGUAUGGAGACAAUUUGAGCUGGCUUAUAGAAUGCGCGUUCUCUUGGCAGUGGUCCCUAACUCUAUUUUCAUAACCGUUUCUCCCCACCCAGCACUGUAACUGUGGGUGAGCGUAAAGUACCAGCCAAGCGGCAGCUAGUGAGUGGUUUCCACUUCUACAAUCUGGAGUGAUUUCCGCCUCCAUUGGCUAAAUAAAGAAAGGUUCACAUUUACCUGAUUCUUCAGUUUACAAAUGAAAUAGCCCAUGUCCCGGUCACUUCUCGGGUUCUUUAGAAGCUGGAAGAUGCUUGGUACUUUUCCCGGAGUCUAUGAGAACUAGCUUUCGUUGUCCUUGAGGUUCAGGAUGGACACGUAUAGCCUUACAACCAACAUCUGUUUAGGAUGCAAGCAAGGAUGGGAUUGAGCCAGCACAGUGGGGUGGAAAUGACACUGAUCUCGGUUUACCCAAUGUCCCUGUAUUGUGCUUGUGAUGAAGAUAGAAACAAUUCAUGAUUUGGAGGCAAGAAAGAUGCUUAGUGAUAAAUAAAGGGUGUAAGUGGGUGACUUGGGGCAUUAAGAAGCGGUAAUAUAAGACAAACACCUCCUGGAGGCAGAAGGGACAGGGAGGGCUAAACACCCGAGCCUCUAGACCAUGGAGAGAGAAGACAAGAAAUUACAAAGUCUGCCCUAGGUCUCAGUCUGUUUGAGUUGAACUGCCACUGUCCAGACUUGACCUUGGGAAGCAGAGGAGUCCACAGGGUUAAGAACUUGGUGAGAAAGGAGUCAUUGGCUACCCAAGAGUCAGGGAAUAACAAACCAAGUUCAACUCUGACAGGUAAGUGUUUGGUUGAGAUUCUGGGGAAUAAAUUUCAAAAUAGAUUGGAGCCCAGAUAAUGGACUUGAGGAUGCCCAGGCUUACGGAGAGAGAGAGAGAGAGAGAGAGAGAGAGAGAGAGAGAGAGAGAGAGAGAGAGAGAGAGAGAGAGUGUGUCCUGUGUGCUUCAUAGAGGAAAUUCUGCCUCUGUAACCUGGAGAGAAACAGCUCUGUAUUAGUGGCCAAGGAUUCUAAAUUAAAAAGACUUGAAGAGCUAAGAAACAGUCCAUGGUCCAUUGCUAAUUCUCCAUAUAGCUUGAACACAGAGAGGGUAACACUUAGGUCUGUAGUCGCGAUGGGCCCGGUCUGGCGGGCAUAACAAGUGCACCCCUCUGGUGGGUGGUGCUGGAGGCAGUACGUUCAUGGCGGGCAGAAGCCUGAGGGAAAUCUUAGCACCUUCUGCUCAAUUUUGCUGCAAUCCUAAAAGUGUUCUGAACAACUUCUUUGACAAAGACUAACAACCCACGGUCCUAGAGACUACGAAACACUCUCACAUAACAGUUGGGUUGAUAUUGACCACUUUGGUAAAAAUUUCAAAAAAAAUAUGCUAAAAUAUGCCUAGCAGUUUCAGAAUUAGUGAGUAUUGUUCAUAGGAUGUGAUGUAAUGGGAAAUGGUAUUUGGUAGCAGUAAUUAGUAUUAUUGAAUGAGGAAAAAUGGGUUUAUGAAUUCCUUUCUUGGUACAAAUACAAGUGUAGACAAAUGUGCAUUAGCAGACAUAUACUUGUAGACUUGUAGACAGACAGACAGAGAUAGACAGAGACAUGCACAGAGAGAGGAGAGGACAUUCUUGUUUCAAAUUAGAAAUGCCUAGACAGGAGCAAAGGCUUCAACACAACUGUGAACAUGGGGACUUUCCAUACAAUCUGCUUGCUGGGUGUGUGUGGAUUUGAUGAGGCAAUGAUACUGAGCCAAGACCCACUGUCACUGUGACUGUUUAUCUUGAAGAUGCAGUGCUCUGCCAGUGAACUAUGUGGGUGCGAAUCGAGGGGGGAGAGUGACAGGAUAGCAUCCCAGCCUGGCAGGCACUGAGGAGACAACACUGUUUCCUAAGGCACCGUGAGGGAUUGGAUGAGGGUAUCUGCCUUGUGCUUGGAUGGACGGCUAGUGCCUCAUCAUCAGGGAAGCAUUGCUGGAGAUGACUCCAUCUGCCUCACUGUGUGCCGUGUGUGCUUGGUAAAUAUUUAAUGUCAACACUGCACCCUCCUCAGGCUUGCUAAAUCACUCCCUGGAUCUCAGGUGGCAGCUCUGAUACCUCCCCAGAAAGGAGACACAGCCUCCCGUGUGGCCACAUCAUAGGCAGCUCCGUUGAUGUGCUCUCGAGCUCUCUGCGCUGUCUGUGGCAACAGUGUACUAGAGCAGGUACCUAAAGACUGAUGAGCCAACAGAAGGGCAAAGAUCAGAGUCUCCUUUGUCCCUAUUCCCUAUAGAUGCUGCCUUUUGGUACGUCAAUUUUCUAGAUGAUGAAUUUGGAGAGGGUCAGUGGUCCAAAGACAAACCACGGGUGUGGCAGAGGCUGGGUCCUAAGCACAUAUUAUUCCCAAUAUCAUGGACAGACAACUCACAUCUCUACCUCCCUGUGAAGCACAGCUUUGUCCCUAAUAAUGUCAUUCAUCUUCCUGGUUUCAUGCUAUGAUGAUGGCUGCCUCUCUCUCCUGUCUCUACAGGGGAGUUGUUCUCCUGGAAGUGAAAUUAGAAAACCUGGCAAAGUAAUGGGCCUGAAGUAUUCCACUGAGUCAUCUCCCAGCCCACUGAGCACAAAGACAUGGAAGAGUCUAGGCCAACAGUUGAUUGAGUUUGCUUUUAUCCUGGUGGGUUAGAGCCAUGUGGAUGCCCAGUGUGACAGGGGUGUGUGUGUGUGUGUGUGUCUGUGUCUGUGUCUGUGUCUGUGUGUCUGUGUGUAUUUGUAUGUGUCUGUGUAUGUCUGUGUGUCUGUGUGUGUGUCUGUGUGUCUGUGUAUUUGUGUGUGUGUGUUUGUGUCUGUAUGUCUGUGUGUCUGUGUAUUUGUGUGUGUAUGUGUGUGUUUGUGUCUGUGUGUGUGUGUUUGUAUGUAUCUGUGUGUGUGUCUGUGUGUGUGUCUGUGUAUUUGUGUGUGUGUGUGUGUGUGUGUGUGUGUGUGCCAACCUCAUAACCAAACAUGUAGAAUUUUUCCAAUCCAGAGUA